rnacentral:sRNA from 1 species
ACUCAACGAAUAUUUCUUUAAAAAGGGUGAGUUUAAGUUGUAAAAGCAAGCUGCUAGUGCUGAAUUUAUUUUCGGUAUCUCGAGCAGAUCCUUGAUCAGCUUGUUAGCCCUAAACUUGUUUUAAGGAGUUU